rnacentral:rRNA from 1 species
UACGAAGGGGGCUAGCGCUGCUCGGAAUCACUGGGCGUAAAGGGUGCGUAGGCGGGUCUUUAAGUCAGGGGUGAAAUCCUGGAGCUCAACUCCAGAACUGCCUUUGAUACUGAGGAUCUUGAGUACGGGAGAGGUGAGUGGAACUGCGAGUGUAGAGGUGAAAUUCGUAGAUAUUCGCAAGAACACCAGUGGCGAAGGCGGCUCACUGGCCCGUUACUGACGCUGAGGCACGAAAGCGUGGGGAGCAAACAGG